UUAAUUGAAGAGUUUGAUCAUGGCUCAGAUUGAACGCUGGCGGCAGGCUUAACACAUGCAAGUCGAGCGGUAGCACAGGGGAGCUUGCUCCCCGGGUGACGAGCGGCGGACGGGUGAGUAAUGUCUGGGAAACUGCCUGAUGGAGGGGGAUAACUACUGGAAACGGUAGCUAAUACCGCAUAACGUCGCAAGACCAAAGAGGGGG
rnacentral:rRNA from 1 species